UACGUAGGGUGCAGGCGUUAAGUCGGAAUUACUGGCGAAAGCGUGCGCAGGCGGUCUGCUAAGAGAGAUGUGAAAUCCCCGGGCUUAACCUGGGAACUGCGUUUCUAACUGGCAGGCUUGAGUUGUGGCAGAGGGGGGUGGAAUUCCACGUGUAGCAGUUGAAAUGCGUAGAGAUGUGGAGGAACACCGAUGGCGAGGCAGGUCUCUGGGCCACUACUGACGCUGGAGAAGCGAAAGCAUGGGGAGCGAA
rnacentral:rRNA from 1 species